rnacentral:rRNA from 1 species
UAGGGAAUCUUCGGCAAUGGGGGCAACCCUGACCGAGCAACGCCGCGUGAGUGAAGAAGGUUUUCGGAUCGUAAAGCUCUGUUGUAAGAGAAGAACGUGUGUGAGAGGGGAAAGUUCACACAGUGACGGUAACUUACCAGAAAGGGACGGCUAACUACGUGCCAGCAGCCGCGGUAAUACGUAGGUCCCGAGCGUUGUCCGGAUUUAUUGGGCGUAAAGCGAGCGCAGGCGGUUUAAUAAGUCUGAAGUUAAAGGCAGUGGCUUAACCAUUGUUCGCUUUGGAAACUGUUAAACUUGAGUGCAGAAGGGGAGAGUGGAAUUCCAUGUGGAGCGGUGAAAUGCGUAGAUAUACGGAGGAACACCGGUGGCGAAAGCGGCUCUCUGGUCUGUAACUGACGCUGAGGCUCGAAAGCGUGGGGAGCAAACAGG